CUUGCACAACAUUAAAUCAUGUUUAAAUGCACAUUAAUUUUGAAUCGAUAUAUCCUGCAUAUCUCCCAAAUCUCGCCCCAUAUUAUCGCUUUUUCUGAUUAGAAUUCCCACAUCUCUCUUCAUUUUACAUUAUUGUUCUGCAUGAAUAAGAAAUUGAACGAGUUGUUCCUAGAUUCGUUGGUUUUUGUAUCGCACCCUACUUGCAUUCAGUCGUUGCUGAAACUGAUCAAUUUGAUCAUUGGAAUCUUUGCAAUCAUGAUGUUUAUUUAGUGCUGGACUGCUGGUGGAUGGUUAGGGCUUGGCAGCACCAAAGAAGCUUUUUAAAGAACAAUUAAUGGAGAGAGUGGUCGCGACGGAAUCAGAAGAAACUAAGUACGGGUUUUGUAGAUAAAUUACAAUGGGGAGUCCCCUCCACCCUGUGCUGAUCGUUUCCCAUUUCUGUCCUCACACAACUGUUCCGCUCUGAUCUGCAGCUACAAAUGAAAAGAGUUAAUGAUCUCUCUUUAUUUGUUUUAUCAACUUUUAGUUGUUUGGAUCAUCAGUUUUUAGAUGCUCAUCUAUAAAAGUAAUGUAUUUCUUUUAA